rnacentral:rRNA from 1 species
GCGUUAACGAACGAGACCUUCCCCUGCUAAAUAGCCAGGCUGGCUUUGGCCGGUCGCAGGCUUCUUAGAGGGACAGUCGGCUCAAGCCGAUGGAAGUUGGAGGCAAUAACAGGUCUGUGAUGCCCUUAGAUGUUCUGGGCCGCACGCGCGCUACACUGACGGAGCCAACGAGUUCACCACCUUGGCCGAGAGGCCUGGGUAAUCUUGUUAAACUCCGUCGUGCUGGGGAUAGAGCAUUGCAAUUAUCGCUCUUCAACGAGGAAUGCCUAGUAAGCGCAUGUCAUCAGCAUGCGUUGAUUACGUCCCUGCCCUUUGUACACACCGCCCGUCGCUAGUACCGAUUGAAUGGAUAC